GAUUCUGGCUCAGAAUGAACGCUGGCGGCAUGGAUUAGGCAUGCAAGUCGAACGUACUCCCUUCGGGGAGAAAGUGGCGAAAGGGUGAGUAACACGUGAGCAACCUGCCUCCGGAUCCGGAAUAAUCCAGGGAAACUUGGUCUAAAACCGAAUGAAGACAUUGGUCCGCAUGGUCUAAUGUUAAAAUAUUUAUAGUCCGGAGAGGGGCUCGCGGCCCAUUAGCUUGUUGGCGGGGUAAUGGCCCACCAAGGCUACGACGGGUAGGUGGUCUGAGAGGAUGGUCACCCACACUGGGACUGAGACACUGCCCAGACUCCUACGGGAGGCUGCAGUCGAGAAUCUUCCGCAAUGGGCGCCAAGCCUGACGGAGCGAUGCCGCGUGAGGGAUGAAGGCCUUCGGGUUGUAAACCUCUGUCAUCCGGGACGAAAACAAUGACGGUACCGGAAAAGGAAGCCACGGCUAACCACGUGCCAGCCGCCGC
rnacentral:rRNA from 1 species